rnacentral:rRNA from 1 species
GACGAACGCUGGCGGCGUGCCUAAUACAUGCAAGUAGAACGCUGAAGAGAGGAGCUUGCUCUUCUUGGAUGAGUUGCGCACGGGUGAGUAACGCGUAGGUAACCUGCCUUGUAGCGGGGGAUAACUAUUGGAAACGAUAGCUAAUACCGCAUAACAAUGGAUGACACAUGUCAUUUAUUUGAAAGGGGCAAUUGCUCCACUACAAGAUGGACCUGCGUUGUAUUAGCUAGUAGGUGAGGUAAUGGCUCACCUAGGCGACGAUACAUAGCCGACCUGAGAGGGUGGGCGGCCACACUGGGACGGGGACACGGCCCAGACUCCAACGGGAGGCGGCAGUAGGGAAUCUUCGGCAAUGGGGGCAAGCCUGACCGAGCAACGCCGCAUGAGUGAAGAAGGUUUUCGGAUCGUAAAGCGCUGUUGUAAGUCAAGAACGGGUGUGACAGUGGAAAGUUCACACUGUGACGGUAGCUUACCAAAAAGGGACGGCUAACUACGUG